GUCUGAGGUGGCGCGCUCGGGCUUCAGAGCGGUCUCGGGGUCGGGUUGCAGGAGGGGUUCG
rnacentral:tRNA from 13 species